AGUGAACGCUGGCGGUAGGCCUAACACAUGCAAGUCGAACGGCAGCACAGUAAGAGCUUGCUCUUACGGGUGGCGAGUGGCGGACGGGUGAGGAAUACAUCGGAAUCUACUUUUUCGUGGGGGAUAAUGUAGGGAAACUUACGCUAAUACCGCAUACGACCUACGGGUGAAAGCAGGGGAUCUUCGGACCUUGCGCGAUUGAAUGAGCCGAUGUCGGAUUAGCUAGUUGGCGGGGUAAAGGCCCACCAAGGGGACGAUCCGUAGCUGGUCUGAGAGGAUGGUCGGCCACAUUGGAACUGAGACACGGUCCAGACGCCUACGGGAGGCGGCAGUGGGGAAUAUUGGACAAUGGGCGCAAGCCUGAUCCAGCCAUACCGCGUGGGUGAAGAAGGCCUUCGGGUUGUAAAGCCCUUUUGUUGGGAAAGAAAAGCAGCAGGUUAAUACCCCGCUGUUCUGACGGUACCCAAAGAAUAAGCACCGGCUAACUUCGUG
rnacentral:rRNA from 1 species